UUCCAUGGAAUAUGGUUCAAACGCGCACAUUGAAGUCUUCCUGUAAUUUGCGAUGUAUCAGUUAUUUUUUAAUAAUGCGGCCACUACGACAUGGAUUUCUAAUAAAGGAAUUAGAUCUUAAUGAUCAUACUGUUGUCAAUUGGUAUAUUUUUGUCAAGAAUUAUUUCAACAAUAAGUCUUGAAUUCAAAAACAAAUUGGUGGAGCGGAUAAAAUACUAGAUGGAGCUGAAGGAAGUGAAAGAAAGUACAAUACUGGACGAACAAUUAGAGGAUAAUAAGUUUUCGGUGGAAUUAAACGCGGACAAAGAAGGACAGAUUAGUGUUUAGGGUAAGGAAGAGAUGAAACAUAUAGAAGUGGAGGUGGGAAUAGAGGAAAACGAGUGGAGUUACGAACGGCACUAUGAGGGCAAAGUUAUCCAAUUAUUGUCUAACCUGAGAGCAACUUUACUUGGCAAAGAACUCGUAGGGACAGG